UGGGGAAUAUUGGACAAUGGGCGAAAGCCUGAUCCAGCCAUGCCGCGUGUGUGAAGAAGGCCUUUUGGUUGUAAAGCACUUUAAGUGGGGAGGAAAAGCUUGUGGUUAAUACCCAUAAGCCUUGACGUUACCCACAGAAUAAGCACCGGCUAACUCUGUGCCAGCAGCCGCGGUAAUACAGAGGGUGCAAGCGUUAAUCGGAAUUACUGGGCGUAAAGCGCGCGUAGGUGGUUAUUUAAGUCAGAUGUGAAAGCCCCGGGCUUAACCUGGGAACUGCAUCUGAUACUGGAUAACUAGAGUAGGUGAGAGGGGAGUAGAAUUCCAGGUGUAGCGGUGAAAUGCGUAGAGAUCUGGAGGAAUACCGAUGGCGAAGGCAGCUCCCUGGCAUCAUACUGACACUGAGGUGCGAAAGCGUGGGUAGCAAACAGGAUUAGAUACCCUGGUAGUCCACGCCGUAAACGAUGUCUACCAGUCGUUGGGUCUUUUAAAGACUUAGUGACGCAGUUAACGCAAUAAGUAGACCGCCUGGGGAGUACGGCCGCAAGGUUA
rnacentral:rRNA from 1 species